rnacentral:rRNA from 1 species
AUAUCAAUAAGCGGAGGAAAAGAAACCAACAGGGAUUACCUCAGUAACGGCGAGUGAAGCGGCUAACAGCUCAAAUUUGAAAUCUGGCCUCAACAGGGUCCGAGUUGUAAUUUGGUAGAAGCAUGCUUCGGGUGUCGGCCCGGUCUAAGUUCCUUGGAACAGGACGUCACAGAGGGUGAGAAUCCCGUAUGUGAUCCGGUGCCUUGCCCGUGUGAAGCUCUUUCGACGAGUCGAGUUGUUUGGGAAUGCAGCUCAAAAUGGGUGGUAAAUUUCAUCUAAAGCUAAAUAUUGGCCAGAGACCGAUAGCGCACAAGUAGAGUGAUCGAAAGAUGAAAAGCACUUUGGAAAGAGAGUUAAACAGUAC